rnacentral:rRNA from 1 species
UACGUAGGGUGCAAGCGUUGUCCGGAAUUAUUGGGCGUAAAGAGCUCGUAGGCGGUCUGUCACGUCGGCUGUGAAAACCCGAGGCUCAACCUCGGGCCUGCAGUCGAUACGGGCAAACUAGAGUGUUGCAGGGGAGACUGGAAUUCCUGGUGUAGCGGUGAAAUGCGCAGAUAUCGAGAGGAACACCUGCGGCGAAGGCGGGUUGCUGGGCUGACACUGACGCUGAGGCGCGAAAGCUAGGGGAGCGAACGGG